rnacentral:tRNA from 1 species
GGUGAUUAGCUCAGCUGGGAGAGCAUCUGCCUUACAAGCAGAGGGUCGGCGGUUCGAUCCCGUCAUCACCACCA